GCGCGAAAACUUUACAAUGCGGGCAACCGUGAUAAGGGAACCUCGAGUGCCUGUAUAUGCAGGCUGUCUGGGUGUCUAAAACACACCUAAAGAAAGGGCCGGGCAAGACCGGUGCCAGCCGCCGCGGUAAUACCGGCGGCUCGAGUGGUGGCCACUUUUAUUGGGCUUAAAGCGUUCGUAGCUGGGUUAUUAAGUCCCUUGGGAAAUCCGAGGGCUUAACCGUCGGGCGUCUAAGGGAUACUGGCAAUCUUGGAACCGGGAGAGGUGAGGGGUACUUCGGGGGUAGGAGUGAAAUCUUGUAAUCCCCGAGGGACGACCGAUGGCGAAGGCAUCUUACCAGAACGGCUUCGACGGUGAGGGACGAAAGCUGGGGGAGCAAACCGGAUUAGAUACCCGGGUAGUCCCAGCUGUAAACGAUGCGCGUUAGGUGUAUCGGUGACCACGAGUCACCGAGGUGCCGAAGGGAAACCGUGAAACGUGCCGCCUGGGAAGUACGGUCGCAAGGCUGAAACUUAAAGGAAUUGGCGGGGGAGCACCACAACAGGUGGAGCCUGCGGUUUAAUUGGACUCAACGCCGGAAAUCUCACCGGAUAAGACAGCUGAAUGAUUGUCGGGCUGAAGACUCUACAUGACUAGCU
rnacentral:rRNA from 1 species